rnacentral:rRNA from 1 species
AUUGAACGCUGGCGGAAUGCUUUACACAUGCAAGUCGAACGAUGAACCUUAGCUUGCUAGGGGGAUUAGUGGCGAACGGGUGAGUAACAUAUCGGAACGUACCUAGUAAUGGGGGAUAACUAGUCGAAAGAUUAGCUAAUACCGCAUACGCCCUGAGGGGGAAAGUAGGGGAUCUUCGGACCUUACGUUAUUAGAGCGGCCGAUAUCUGAUUAGCUAGUUGGUGGGGUAAAGGCCUACCAAGGCGACGAUCAGUAGCUGGUCUGAGAGGACGACCAGCCACACUGGAACUGAGACACGGUCCAGACUCCUACGGGAGGCAGCAGUGGGGAAUUUUGGACAAUGGGGGCAACCCUGAUCCAGCCAUUCCGCGUGAGUGAAGAAGGCCUUCGGGUUGUAAAGCUCUUUCGCAAGGGAAGAAAACUUACAUUCUAAUAAAGUGUGAGGCUGACGGUACCUUGAUAAGAAGCACCGGCUAACUACGUGCCAGCCGCCGCCGUAA